GACGAACGCUGGCGGCGUGCUUAACACAUGCAAGUCGAACGGAAAGGCCCUGCUUUUGUGGGGUGCUCGAGUGGCGAACGGGUGAGUAACACGUGAGUAACCUGCCCUUGACUUUGGGAUAACUUCAGGAAACUGGGGCUAAUACCGGAUAGGAGCUCCUGCUGCAUGGUGGGGGUUGGAAAGUUUCGGCGGUUGGGGAUGGACUCGCGGCUUAUCAGCUUGUUGGUGGGGUAGUGGCUUACCAAGGCUUUGACGGGUAGCCGGCCUGAGAGGGUGACCGGCCACAUUGGGACUGAGAUACGGCCCAGUCGCCUACGGGAGGAAGCAGUGGGGAAUAUUGCACAAUGGGCGGAAGCCUGAUGCAGCAACGCCGCGUGCGGGAUGACGGCCUUCGGGUUGUAACCCGCUUUCGCCUGUGACGAAGCGUGAGUGACGGUAAUGGGUAAAGAAGCACCGGCUAACUACGUG
rnacentral:rRNA from 1 species